rnacentral:lncRNA from 1 species
CCCACCCCCACCCCCCUCGUGCCCGCUCCGCUACGUAUUCCCGUAUUCCCGGGUGCCUGGCAACAGUGAUGUGCUUUAGGCCUUUUUUAGAAUGCAUACAAACGGAACCAUAUCUAAGUGAUGUCUGGCUUUUUUAACUUAGCACAAUGCUUUGAGAUUCAUACUAUUGUGUUUAAUUAGUAAUUCAUUUGUGUUAUUGUUGAAUGGUAGUCUAUCAUAUGGGUAAGCCACAGUUUAUUUAUCCAUUCACCAAUUGAUGGGCCUGUCGGUUGUAGGGAACAGGAGAAAACUUCCCCUUUGCCCUCUGAAGGGUCACCGAAAAUCAACUGACAAGGCUGGGCCUGGGCUCCUGCCUGUAACCCCAGCCCUUUUUUAGCCCAAGGCAGGAGGAUCUCUUCUUUGUGAAGUGUGUAUUCAAAUCUUUUGACCAUUUAUUUAUUAGCUAGCUUGACUUUUUAUCUAAGAGUUCUUUAUAUAUUAUUGAGUUCUUUAUAUGUUUCAUACCAUGUUCUUUAUUAGCUAUACGUUUUGAAAUGUUUUCUACCUGUCUGUGGCUUGCCUCUUCAUUUUAAGUGUCUUUUGAAGCACUGAAGUUUUCAAUUUUGAUGUAAUUUAUCCAUUUUUUUCUUUUACAUAGUUCAUACCUUUUUUGUCCUACUUAAGACAUUUUUGCUAAAUUCAAGAUUAUAAGAUUUCCUCAUUUGUUACCUUCUGGAAGUUUUAUAAUUGUUGGUCUUCAUUAUAUUUAAAAUGAAUUAUUCUUUAUAGUAUCGAUAGAUGCUGGAGGCAGAUAAGGGAGGGUCCCUGGAGAAUCUCUGACCUGCCUCACAAGCUUUUGUGCAGCUGAGGAAGCCUGCCCAGGGUCUUGUCUGGGCAUGCCCACAAGGGACUUGGGGGCCCACUGCACCAGGAGAGUGGGGUGCAGCCAGAGGGAAUUCAGCCUUAUGCAGCAGGGAUGAGCAAGAAGUCUUCAGCUUGUGUGUGUUGGCCUGUUAUUCAGUCUGUGAGCUGGGAGCCUGUUGGCAGGACCCUCCUUGUUUUUUUGCUAAGAGCUUUUAAUAAAUGCCACUCUUCACCUUGCAAUGUAUUCACAUGCCUAAUUGUUCCUGGUCAUGAGACAAGAACCUGGAUUUUAGCUGAGCUAAGGAGCAAAAAUUCCUGCAUCAGUAUGAGGUGUAAGGAAGAACAGAAGGAUCCAAGUGUGAGAAAGCCCACCCUGAGUCUCUCAGAGAUUCAUUUCACUACCAGGUCAAAGACACAAUCAAAAGCCCGACAAAUGGAAUUUGUGGAAUUGGAACAAAAAGCUUUUCUUCCUAGGCACAAGAACAUCAAAGCAUAAAUCCUUCAGGUAUCAGCAAUGACAUCACUUAAGAAUUUCUCAGAAUCUUUGGCACCACCCCAGGCCUACCGGAUCAGAAUCUGAAUUUUUUAACAAGAUCUCAGAUCUAGUCAAGAGUCCAGUCUGAUUUCUCUUUAUUGGGACUACCACCCAAAGCAGAAUGAGGAUGAUGUAACCACGCCCAGUGACUUCUGGAUACCACUGACUCUAGGCAUUUUGCAGAUCCUGAAUUCCAGCAGAAUGGCUGACACCAACUGGUCUGAAGACCCUCACCAAGGAACUGACUCAGUGCAGGAAUGCAGUUUCUUCAUCUCCCUAUCCCUGACUUCACCCCUCACUUCUCAACCAAUCAGUGAUCACCACACUUUAGGCCAUCACCUGUGUCCAGACCCCUUAAAAACCCCAUCUGCAAACCUCUUGAAGAGGCAUAUUUGAGGUUUCCUCUCAUCUCCUCAUUUGGUUUCCCUACAAUUAUUAAAUUCUUUCUCUGCUGCAACUCCUACUUUUUCAGUGUAUUGGUCUGUUACUGUGCAACAGGAAAUCAGACCUGGUGGUCCUAUAGUAAGAGUUCACAGAAUAUGAUAUACAAAGUGAUCUGUGAUAUACAAAAACCGGCACAAUCUCACUCUUAAUAAGAAAAAUUCAACUUAAAAUUAAAAGUUUUUUUUCCUCAGAAUGGCAAAGAUCAAAGUUUGAUAACAUGGUUGGAAAGUAUGCAGACCGAUAUUCUCAUAUUCAUUGAUGAAGUGUAAAUUGAUACAUCCUUUGUCAGUACGGACAGGUUUCCCAACUCUAGGGGUGAAAUUUAUACAGACUACAGUGUGAAUGACAACCACUUCAAAUUGGGUGAUAUGAUGACCUUGACUCUGUGGAGGGUCAUUUGGCAAAAUAUCUCAAAAUAAAAAUGUACAUACAAUUUGA